rnacentral:rRNA from 1 species
GUCCACGCCGUAAACGAUGGAUACUAGCUGUUGGGAGCGAUCUCAGUGGCUAAGCGAAAGUGAUAAGUAUCCCACCUGGGGAGUACGUUCGCAAGAAUGAAACUCAAAGGAAUUGACGGGGGCCCGCACAAGCGGUGGAGCAUGUGGUUUAAUUCGAUGAUACGCGAGGAACCUUACCAAGGCUUAAAUGUAGAUUGACCGGACUGGAAACAGUUUUUUCGCAAGACAAUUUAGAAGGUGCUGCAUGGUUGUCGU